rnacentral:rRNA from 1 species
AGUGAACGCUGGCGGUAGGCCUAACACAUGCAAGUCGAACGGCAGCACAGUAAGAGCUUGCUCUUACGGGUGGCGAGUGGCGGACGGGUGAGGAAUACAUCGGAAUCUACUUUUUCGUGGGGGAUAACGUAGGGAAACUUACGCUAAACCGCAUACGACCUACGGGUGAAAGCAGGGGAUCUUCGGACCUUGCGCGAUUGAAUGAGCCGAUGUCGGAUUAGCUAGUUGGCGGGGUAAAGGCCCACCAAGGCGACGAUCCGUAGCUGGUCUGAGAGGAUGAUCAGCCACACUGGAACUGAGACACGGUCCAGACUCCUACGGGAGGCAGCAGUGGGGAAUAUUGGACAAUGGGCGCAAGCCUGAUCCAGCCAUACCGCGUGGGUGAAGAAGGCCUUCGGGUUGUAAAGCUCUUUUGUUGGGAAAGAAAAGCAGCAGGUUAAUACCCCGCUGUUCUGACGGUACCCAAAGAAUAAGCACCGGCUAACUUCGUG